rnacentral:tmRNA from 3 species
GGGGGUGAACGUUUUGACAGGACCGUGAAGGAACCAUAGGCAAGCCGAGCUUCUCGGACGCUCGCAAAACAACCGAGGGCACCAAAAAUGCCAACAUAUUCGCCCCUCAGCGGGCACCUGCUUACGCAUAAAAGCGUUUAAGCCAUCUGACUCAGGCAACUCUCGAUAGCUGAGCCGGGUGUCAAACAAUCGAGAAUCGGGACAGUUUCUGAAAAAACCCAGGGAGCUGUCCGUCAAGAAAGGGUUUAAGAGAGAAGGUUUUGCCCAGUUUACACUUCUCUCACUACCAACUGGGAUACGCUUGUAGAAUAUGUUUCUGGACUUUUCUGGACGGGAGUUCAAUCUCCCCACCUCCACAC